rnacentral:rRNA from 2 species
AAAAGAACCCCGGCGAGGGGAGUGAAAAAGAACCUGAAACCGUGUACGUACAAGCAGUGGGAGCACCUUCGGGUGUGACUGCGUACCUUUUGUAUAAUGGGUCAGCGACUUAUAUUCUGUAGCAAGGUUAACCGUAUAGGGGAGCCGCAGGGAAACCGAGUCUUAACUGGGCGUUAAGUUGCAGGGUAUAGACCCGAAACCCGGUGAUCUAGCCAUGGGCAGGUUGAAGGUUGGGUAACACUAACUGGAGGACCGAACCGACUAAUGUUGAAAAAUUAGCGGAUGACUUGUGGCUGGGGGUGAAAGGCCAAUCAAACCGGGAGAUAGCUGGUUCUCCCCGAAAGCUAUUUAGGUAGCGCCUCGUGAACUCAUCUUCGGGGGUAGAGCACUGUUUCGGCUAGGGGGUCAUCCCGACUUACCAACCCGAUGCAAACUACGAAUACCGAAGAAUGUUAUCACGGGAGACACACGGCGGGUGCUAACGUCCGUCGUGAAGAGGGAAACAACCCAGACCGCCAGCUAAGGUCCCAAAGUCAUGGUUAAGUGGGAAACGAUGUGGGAAGGCACAGACAGCCAGGAUGUUGGCUUAGAAGCAGCCAUCAUUUAAAGAAAGCGUAAUAGCUCACUGGUCGAGUCGGCCUGCGCGGAAGAUGUAACGGGGCUAAACCAUGCACCGAAGCUGCGGCAGCGACACUAUGUGUUGUUGGGUAGGGGAGCG